UGCCAGCGGGCAUCCGGGGCCUCCUCUUCUACGGAUGUGGUCUCAGCAGUCGCCUUGAGUGGGGCAUCUGAGGACGCCCAGCAGGCAAAUGUGGCACUGAGCUAUAUCCAGGCUGAAGAUAUGAAUUGAUGGUCUGCUGUUGGGCAAAUCCACGGAAAAGGAACCUGCAGUGUUGGGGAUGGAAUCGGGGCCUCGCUCCCGAAAGUCCAGUCAGGGCUGACUGUUCAGGUGAGUCCUGAGCUCCCGCUGGCCCCUGAAGCCAGGUUGGGGCUGGCCCUGUAGGGCCUGGCUUCUGAGAAAUGGCGCCCUGG